rnacentral:rRNA from 1 species
UACGGGGGGGCAAGCGUUGUUCGGAAUUACUGGGCGUAAAGGGCUCGUCGGCGGCCAACUAAGUCGGAUGUGAAAUCCCCAAGCUUAACUUGGGAACUGCAUCCGAUACUGGAUGGCUUGAAUCCGGGAGAGGGAUGCAGAAUUCCAGGUGUAGCGGUGAAAUGCGUAGAUAUCUGGAGGAAUACCGGUGGCGAAGGCGGCAUCCUGGACCGGCAUUGACGCUGAGGAGCGAAAGCUAGGGGAGCAAACGGG